GCUUUUUCUUUCACCGGAGCUUGCUCCACCGAAAGAAAAGGAGUGGCGAACGGGUGAGUAACACGUGGGUAACCUGCCCAUCAGAAGGGGAUAACACUUGGAAACAGGUGCUAAUACCGUAUAACAAUAGAAACCGCAUGGUUUCUAUUUGAAAGGCGCUUUUGCGUCACUGAUGGAUGGACCCGCGGUGCAUUAGCUAGUUGGUGAGGUAACGGCUCACCAAGGCAACGAUGCAUAGCCGACCUGAGAGGGUGAUCGGCCACAUUGGGACUGAGACACGGCCCAAACUCCUACGGGAGGCAGCAGUAGGGAAUCUUCGGCAAUGGACGAAAGUCUGACCGAGCAACGCCGCGUGAGUGAAGAAGGUUUUCGGAUCGUAAAACUCUGUUGUUAGAGAAGAACAAGGAUGAGAGUAAAAUGUUCAUCCCUUGACGGUAUCUAACCA
rnacentral:rRNA from 1 species